rnacentral:rRNA from 1 species
UACGGAGGGGGCUAGCGUUGUUCGGAAUUACUGGGCGUAAAGCGCACGUAGGCGGCUUUGUAAGUUAGAGGUGAAAGCCCAGGGCUUAACCCUGGAAUUGCCUUUAAGACUGCAUCGCUAGAAUUGUGGAGAGGUAAGUGGAAUUCCGAGUGUAGAGGUGAAAUUCGUAGAUAUUCGGAAGAACACCAGUGGCGAAGGCGACUUACUGGACACAUAUUGACGCUGAGGUGGCGAAA